rnacentral:rRNA from 1 species
CAGUAGCCGCGGUAAUACGUAGGUGGCGAGCGUUGUCCGGAAUUAUUGGGCGUAAAGGGAGCGCAGGCGGACACAUAAGUCCAUCUUAAAAGUGCGGGGCUCAACCCCGUGAGGGGAUGGAAACUGUAUGCCUCGAGUGCAGGAGAGGAAAGCGGAAUUCCCAGUGUAGCGGUGAAAUGCGUAGAUAUUGGGAGGAACACCAGUGGCGAAGGCGGCUUUCUGGACUGCAACUGACGCUGAGGCUCGAAAGCCAGGGGAGCGAACGGGAUUAGAUACCCCUGUAGUCCCUGUCUCUUAUACC